UGGGGCCUUAGGAUAUACCAGAACUCAGGCUAUUUUGACAAACACUGCUGUUGUGAGUGUGAGAGCCUUACAUGGAGUAGCUCAUAGCUCUGCUUGCUUAGUCAUUUGAACUGCUAUUAACUGUGAGCUUCAGCACUGAGCUCAGAUGGGACUGGCCGGGACCUUGGAUCUGCAGUGAUGGGGCUGAUUAAGUGAUAGACAGUGGUUCAUUGCAGACUUCAUCGAACUAUUGCUGAACUAGGAUUUUCUGAUGUGAAUUUAUCUAAAACUUCCAGUCACUGGAGUCUGACUGGUUCUUUACCUGCAUUUUGCUGGCGAGGGAAUGGAUGAUUUCCACCUGCUCAUCGUUCUGUGGAAUCACACGAAACACCUUGUGGCUGAAAGGAGAGAGAGAAAUUGGAUUUUAAAAAGAUAAGUCAGCUGGAAGACUUCUGCUCAUGGAGAAGAAACUGUGAAAAUAUAAACCUGAUGUCUGUACGUACCCAUCAAAAGUCAGAUCUUGCAGGUGAGCAGAAGCAAAUGCAGCACCUACGAGAAC